rnacentral:tRNA from 1 species
GCGGGUGUGGUGGAAUGGUAGACACAUCAGACUUAAAAUCUGAAGGGCUUUGCCCGUGCGGGUUCGAGUCCCGCCACCCGUA